CCGGUGUGGAGUGAGUGAGUGAGGGAGAAAGCAGGAGAAAUGUGAAAAAUCCGUGUCUCGGUGUUUCAUGGCGCGCGGAGGCCUGAGCGGUGUGGAGUGAAGAGCUGACGGAUCAGCAGCAUGGUAAACAAACCCAGCUUUUUAUUCCUGCUCAUGACACGUCCUUUAUUCCCAUCCGCUGCCCUGAACACAGCGAUCAACACCGCACUUUGUGCACUUUGUGUUCUGAGGCUUGAUCAUUUCUCCGGGAAGGUUUUGCGCUUUAACUAAACUAACUUUCAGUCGCCAAAAAAAAAAAGAAAGAAAAAAAACUAGCUUUCGAGGAACGCAGCCGGACUCGCGCGCUUCAUUUCUGCACAUGAAGAGUUAAUUUUCCAUCAGGUCGUGACUGGAGAGGUUUAGUGUGCAUGUGCAGAUUUAUUGCAAAUUAAAUGUUAUUUUAAGUGCAUGCAGUCUGAGUGUUUGUUAUUGGAGGAUUUUUUUAGUAUGAUUGAUUGUUUGUUUUUCAGGCACGGAUUCAGGAUUGUGUUUUAGUGAACAAGUGCAGUGUACAUGAGUCUGCCUUUGGACUUCAUGGCCUUAAACCAGGCUUACUGUGUUUCUCGUGUGUGUGUGUGUGUGUGUGUGUGUGUGUGUGUAAGGAGAAGAAAAAAGUUUUAAACUUUGCAUAUUUUAUGAAUAUGUGAAUCCAGGACUGUUGCACUUGGAUAUGCAUCUUCCAUGGAUUGCAUUUUUAGUCGUGAAGAGCAAUCUGGAGCUUUACCCAGAAAACUUGGUGUGUUUUUGUGUGUGAUUUCUCUCACUGCUUCAGCAUCCUCGAACCUCAGUUUGGUAACACGUGAUUUAUCUACAUCUAUAUGCACAUGCAUAUUAAUGUGGCUCUUUAUUCUUCCUAGCUGAAUUGCAUCCCUGACCUUUGACCCCUAUGGACAGCAUCCUUCCAACUUUUCAGUCAGUCAUGCUUCUGGUUAAAUGAGUUCCAUUUGUUCGUCUUUAUUGUGAUAUUAUAUCACACAAGGCUGUUAUGCAGUCCAAUUACUCAUUUUUGUGUUAUGUACUGUGAUCUUCCUGAUCAAUAUCAGAUGUGCCAGAUGUUUCACUGCAUUGCUCACGUCAUUAUGUGAACCAAAAAAAGCAAAGAAUUUGGAUGAAAAUAUCUCAAGGCAUCGUUUAACCAUUAACAUCCAAGCUUAACCAGUCAGGUUUAUAACAGUGCAUGGAGCAGUAUGAUAUCUUUCAACCCUGAUAGUUAACUGAUAGCAAGGAACAGUAGCCUGUGAGCUGUCAGUCCCAGUGAAGGGGGCGUGGCCUCUAUGCCUGUCAGUACUAGUGAAUGGCAUGGCCUCUGUGCUUGUCUAUUCCCAGUGAAGGAGGCGUGGCCUCUGUGCUUGUCUAUUUCCAGUGAGGGGGCGUGGCCUCUGUGCUUGUCUACUCCCAGUGAAGGAGGCGUGGCCUCUGGGCUUGUCUAUUCCCAGUGAAGGAGGCGUGGCCUCUGGGCUUGUCUAUUCCAGUGAAGGAGGCGUGGCCUCUGGGCUUGUCUAUUCCCAGUGAAGGAGGUGUGGCCUCUGGGCUUGUCUAUUCCCAGUGAAGGAGGCGUGGCCUCUGGGCUUGUCAAUUCCCAGUGAAGGAGGUGUGGCCUCUGGGCUUGUCUAUUCCCAGUGAGGGGAGGCGUGGCCUCUGGGCUUGUCUAUUCCCAGUGAAGGAGGCGUGGCCUCUCGGCUUGUCUAUUCCCAGUGAAGGAGGCGUGGCCUCUGGGCUUGUCUAUUCCCAGUGAAGGAGGCGUGGCCUCUGGGCUUGUCUAUUCCCAGUGAAGGAGGCGUGGCCUCUGGGCUUGUCAAUUCCCAGUGAAGGAGGCGUGGCCUCUGGGCUUGUCUAUUCCCAGUGAAGGAGGCGGGGCCUCUGGGCUUGUCUAUUCCCAGUGAAGGAGGCGGGGCCUCUGUGCCUGUCAGUUCUAGUAACCGAGGUGUGGCCUUUUUGCCUGUCCGUUCUAGUGAUGGAGGCGGGGUCUCUGUGCCUGUCUGUUCUAGUAACAGAGGCGUGGCUUUCUGUGUCCAUCGGUUUCUGUGAAGGAGGUACGGCCUAUGCGUCCGUCAGUCUCUAUGAAGGAGGCGUGGCCUCUGUGUGUGUCAGUUAUAGUGAAGCAGACAUGGCCUUUUUGGUUUUCUGUUCCCAGUGAGGAAGGCUUGGCCUUUGUGUGUGCCAGUUCUACUGAAGGAGGCGUGACCACUGUCUGUCAGUUCUAAUGAAGUAGGUGUGGCUUCCCAGUUCCUUAAAAUUAAAUCUUUCUUUAGGUGAAUUUGAAAUGUUGCCAUAAUACUGAAUCAGGUUAUAGCCUGUAACUUUUUAAAUUAAGGUAUUGAGCUGUGAGAUACACACGAUUAAUUACAAUGAACGCAUUAAAUAAUUGUCACAAACUAUUCAGUUUACCAGUCUGAGAAAAUUGUGGUCGAUUGUGAACAAACUGCUACUCUUAAGUGACGUGUGAUGAAGCUGAAUCCCUAACGAGUCUCAGCUAAUGUUUAUUUACCGAUAAUAAGAUAAACUAAUAAAAUGUGAUGACCACUUUAAUUUAAAUCAGUGCACGCCUAAUGGAUUGUAGAAUAUUUAUUUGACCGUGUAAUCAGUAUCACUUUUCACUUAUGAGGCAGGGCUCAUCUGAGGGCGUUAUUGGCUUUGGGGUCGAUUCAGGAUCCUCCUCAUUAGAAGUGGUGCAGUGAUGCAGUAAUCUUGCCUUCAGCUCACAUCUGGAUGCUCGGGUUAAUAUCUGGGUCGGGUCAGUACUGUAGCAGUCAGAGUCCACUCUCUUUAGCUUCUGGUUGAGAGCCUGUGUGUUUUCUGAGUGGGUGUUACGGACAUCUGGGGCUCUAAAGCAGGAGUUGCAAUCCUUUUUCAGCUUACUGGAAUGGGACUGAAGUGAGUUUCAGGUUUCUAGAAACUUUUUGCAGAAUAGCAUGCCAUAAAAGGCCAAUGAAUAGCCUUUAAAUGAAGUAUUUGGUAGAGACAUAAGUCAUUAAAUGGGAUUAAAAGGUCUACCAUUACUUCAUCCUGAAAAGCAGUUGAUUAUUAUUUUUUUUCAGAAAUUAUAUCUGCUUACAUAAGAAUGGAUAAAAAUCUCCAGGUCCCUCACUUAAUCUAUCCUGAAAUACUUUUACAUUUUAAGUGGGAUUCAUCUAAAACCUCUGAAAGCUGGGUUUGUGUUCAUGUUCCAUAAUUAGCGUUGUCAUGAAGUUUAGCAUAUUCAGUUAAAGCAUACCUUAAAUAAAUGCUUUCAGGGUGUUUUAGAGGAGUAUACAUGAAGCUUUUACAUUUUUGGGGUGGAUGCUGCCAGAUGUUUUAUUCCUUUUAUACCACAGCAGGAACAUCUACGAAACAAAUCACCAACUAGCCGAGCCGAGUCUUUCCGUAACCUGUAGCUGCAUUGUUUUGUGGGAAUUUGAGUAAAACGAUUGGCAUCUCCUUUACUCCUACAUUGGAUUUUUCGAUAAUAGGACAUUUGAAAAUGGUGAGUAUGAAAAAAAAAAGUUCUUGCUUUUUUGUUUUUAGGAGCUAACAGCGAACCAUUAUCCCUUAUGUUUGAGAGAGCUCAAUUAUUUUUCAACUCCAUUUAAACGCCUUUGUAACUGCGCUACCAAUAAGAAAGUCUCCCUGUGACUUCAUUAUGACACAUAACCGCUAAUCAUUAAGCACAUGAAUGUGUUUCAGGUUGGACUUUUCCUUUAAUCUGUCACCCUCCCAGGAAAUGUCAGUGACUCCUGACUUUAACUCAUAUCCACUUGCACGUGUCUAUACUACAGAUCUCAAAACCUCGCAAUAGACAUGAGGUGACAUUAAUGAGUCUUAUUUGAAGCGGAUGGACGUUGAAGGCAUACCAUAAUUUACACUGAAAAGAAAUGUUUACAUUGUGUAGCAUUAUUAACCAGUAAUAACUAUGGCUGUGAUUGCUGUGUAUAAUAACUCGGCCUUUGUGUUUGGGAGUGGUGACUGCAUUGUGACUGCUUCGAAUUGUCAGUGGUAUUUGCUUGAAAGAUGAGAGUACAAACUCUAUUUGACCUCAGCACCAGGACAGAAGGGUUUAGAUUUUGUUAUUAGCAUUUCUGUUGUUGUAGCCUCCAUACCGGCAGCUUCUUAGUGGCGUCUGAAGUGCUUAUGGCUGCCUGCUGGUCCUCACACACGUCUGCACUGUUCACAAAAUAUAAAGGAGCUCAAAAUUACAGCCCUCUCUCUGUGUUUCCGUCUCUUCCUUCCUGUCAGA
ensembl:lncRNA